rnacentral:pre_miRNA from 1 species
GGAAUAUAAGAAACUGUUUCUUAAUUUUUAACUAAAAAAGUUAAGAACCGACUCUUAAAUAAGAACCAAAAAAAUAUGUUUAUUUAAGAGUCGGUUCUUAACUUUUUUAGUUAAAAGUUAAGAGAUGGUUUCUUAUAUUCC